CAGUUCAGGAUUGACUUCACACACUAGGCUCGUUGUGUCGGACUCAAUCGCAGACCAAGAUCAAGACGCCAGU